AUUGUGAAAGGGAGGCAAAGAUCUGCACCUGCCAUGGCGGUUGGGCUCACGUGCUCCUCUGCAUUGGAGUUAGCCAAGGAGCGUGUGCAGAACACUUGCCUCGUAGGCCAGCCGUAAGGAAGGAUGUCCCAGGUGCAGGCGAGGUUUUGUUCAUGUGUUCCUGGAGGAUUUUUCCGGUGGCAAGUGCUUCUCCAUCCUCCAGCAUCUCAGGCCUGUGCACCAGCCUUCCUGUGCCCGUUGAUGGACUGAGAGGAAGAUGAGCCCUUAGGAUGCCUGCCAUGCUCAGUGUUAAGGGUUUUCAAAAGAAAUGCAGGCAGCAUGGUGCACUACAGACUCCAGCCUCCCUUUGAAGCCAGGUUCCAGAGCUUCCUCCCUUUGGCCUGGAACCUCAACAGCAGGAUUGGGAUGAGGAUGGAAGUGUACAGAUAUGCAUAUAGUAUUGCUUAUCCCCAGCUGAAAUCAAUGUUGGCAUGACAUGUUGCAAAACCAAACUGACAUUGAACAUGACUUUUUUCAGCCCUUUAAAUAGCUGUUCAUGUAGAACUUAGUUUUUUAUGGAAGACCUUGAUAAUCCUGUCUUUAGUUACUUUAGAAGUUAACUUCCUGGGUGGACUUGAAUUGAGUCUUAUUCAUCUUUAAAUUUCCAGGGUUUAGCAAAGUACCUGCUUCAGAGUAGGUGUUAAUAAAGCUAAUGCCCUUCAAAUCAACAAGAGGAUUUCCUGUGAGGGGUGGUCCUGUUUUCUGACACUCAGAUGGCUCUGAGUGUGGCAUCUCAGAAAAAAGAAAGAAAGAAAAAAAAAAAGAUUGGGCUGGGCGCGGUGGCUCACGCCUGUAAUCCCAGCACUUUGGGAGGCUGAGGCAGGUGGAUCACAAGGUCAGGAGAUCGAGACCAUCCUGGCUAACACAGUGAAACCCUGUCUCUACUAAAAAUAAAAAAAAUUUAUCCUGGC